rnacentral:rRNA from 1 species
UGGCUCAGGAUGAACGCUGGCGGCGUGCUUAACACAUGCAAGUCGAACGAUGAAGCCCAGCUUGCUGGGUGGAUUAGUGGCGAACGGGUGAGUAACACGUGAGUAACCUGCCCUUGACUCUGGGAUAAGCCUGGGAAACUGGGUCUAAUACUGGAUAUGACUUCUCACCGCAUGGUGGGGGGUGGAAAGAUUUAUUGGUCUUGGAUGGACUCGCGGCCUAUCAGCUUGUUGGUGAGGUAAUGGCUCACCAAGGCGACGACGGGUAGCCGGCCUGAGAGGGUGACCGGCCACACUGGGACUGAGACACGGCCCAGACUCCUACGGGAGGCAGCAGUGGGGAAUAUUGCACAAUGGGCGCAAGCCUGAUGCAGCGACGCCGCGUGAGGGAUGACGGCCUUCGGGUUGUAAACCUCUUUCAGUAGGGAAGAAGCGAAAGUGACGGUACCUGCAGAAGAAGCGCCGGCUAACUACGUGCCAGCAGCCGCGGUAAUACGUAGGGCGCGAGCGUUAUCCGGAAUUAUUGGGCGUAAAGAGCUCGUAGGCGGUUUGUCGCGUCUGCCGU